rnacentral:rRNA from 1 species
UACGUAGGGUGCAAGCGUUAUCCGGAAUUAUUGGGCGUAAAGAGCUCGUAGGCGGUUUGUUGUGUCGGCUGUGAAAUCCCGAGGCUCAACCUCGGGUCUGCAGUCGAUACGAGCAAACUAGAGUGUUGCAGGGGAGACUGGAAUUCCUGGUGUAGCGGUGAAAUGCGCAGAUAUCAGGAGGAACACCGGUGGCGAAGGCGGGUCUCUGGGCAACAACUGACGCUGAGGAGCGAAAGCGUGGGGAGCGAACAGG